rnacentral:rRNA from 1 species
ACACGACUACAUUAGAUACCCGUGUAGUCCCAGCCGUAAACGAUACUCGCUAGGUGUCGGCCACGGUGCGACCGUUGUCGGUGCCGUAGGGAAGCCGUGAAGCGAGCCACCUGGGAAGUACGGCCGCAAGGCUGAAACUUAAAGGAAUUGGCGGGGGAGCACAACAACGGGUGGAGCUUGCGGUUUAAUUGGAUUCAACGCCGGAAAUCUUACCGGGACCGACAGCAACAUGAAGGCCAGGCUGAAGACUUUGCCGGAUUAGCUG